GAUGAACGCUGGCGGCGUGCUUAACACAUGCAAGUCGAACGAUGAAGCCCAGCUUGCUGGGUGGAUUAGUGGCGAACGGGUGAGUAACACGUGAGUAACCUGCCCUUAACUCUGGGAUAAGCCUGGGAAACUGGGUCUAAUACCGGAUAGGAGCGUCCACCGCAUGGUGGGUGUUGGAAAGAUUAACGGUUUUGGAUGGACUCGCGGCCUAUCAGCUUGUUGGUGAGGUAAUGGCUCACCAAGGCGACGACGGGUAGCCGGCCUGAGAGGGUGACCGGCCACACUGGGACUGAGACACGGCCCAGACUCCUACGGGAGGCAGCAGUGGGGAAUAUUGCACAAUGGGCGCAAGCCUGAUGCAGCGACGCCGCGUGAGGGAUGACGGCCUUCGGGUUGUAAACCUCUUUCAGUAGGGAAGAAGCGAAAGUGACGGUACCUGCAGAAGAAGCACCGGCUAACUACGUG
rnacentral:rRNA from 1 species